AAUCUGGAAAUCAUCUAGAUGCCAGCACCCAAAAACCUAGUAACAAAGGGACACAAUGGAACUGAUGGGCUUCAGUAUGAGAGGAAGCAGAGGAGACAGGAGAUACCAGAGGAAAUUGAUCUGCAGGACUCAGCUCAUUCCUAGAAUGAAGAGAUGCCAGUGAGAGGUGUGUCUGCAGGUCCUGAUCCAUACCUGGAGGAGGAGGCUCCUGUGAGAGAUGAUUUUGUCACGUUGCUCAGACGCUUGGUGCUUGGAAAUCCGUAUCAUUGGGAUCACUGGCAGUGCUGAGGGGACCUGGAGUAGGACUAGAGAGAGCCCUGGGGUCUGUGUGGAGCAAACUAUGGCUUGAGCAGUGAACACGGAACAGCUGGGAAGGUGGCCUUGCCAGGUGGAACCGGAACAUCAGGAACUUUUUCCGAAUCUAACCAGCAAGACCAGGAUUUGAAAGAUGGAGUAAGAAGAAAAAUGGAGUAGAAGAAAGGAUAUAAUGCAAUGAAUGGUACCUGGUACCUAGGAUGAAUACAUAAGAAGAAUGGAGACUUUGGUGAGGAUGGUGAGAGGAUGGAGAAAAAAGAACAAGAGUCAGCAUACGAAAACUGAGGCUGUAUGGAGCCCUCUCUCCUGAUGGGAAGUAAGGAAGGAGGAAGGAGGAAGAGGAGAAGAAGGAGUGAGAGCUCCAGUGGCUGCAGCAAGCUUAUUUAUACACUUAGGAAAUUGAAUGUCAUGUGAAACCCCUCCACAUAAUAGCUUAUCCACAUGGCUGUCUCAGGAGCCCAGUGUUCUUGAGACUAGAGCAGCUUAUUCAUGCAACUUGCCUCAGGUGCUGUGUUAUUGAGGCUGACCUUGCUCUGGCCCUGCACAUGAUCAAUCUCCAGCGUCAUCUGCUUCCUGCAGUUUUCAACAGUAAUCCCUAGUUGAGAAGGAGCACAAGAGCUUGAUGGAUGGAGCACCCUGAGCACAACCAUCUCAGGGUGUUGUGGUGGCUGGCUGAUUCCAGUCUUUGCUCCAAUGGACCCAGAGGGAACACUGGAGUAUUGUGGUCUCCUCUAGGGACAAUAAGAGUGAAGAUCAAUAUUUUUGCUUCAGCCACCACCUUUGUGCUCAGCCUUUUUGGUACCACCUGGCAAGGGAAUCUGCCACCUGCUUCUAUGGUGGAGGGAUGGGUGGAAGACCAGCUUCUGACUCAAUCCUGUUGAAACUGUCAGGAGAGGAUUACAGAUUUUGCUUGGAAUAUACUGGAUAUUGCCAAGAACAUUCUCUGUUGUAACCCACACUUUCCCAGAACUGUACAGCAAACUUACUUUUUAUUUAUUACUUACUAUUAUUGUUUUUAAAAUGUGAGUCUUGUAAAUCUAUACAUUGAAACACAAAGCUCCUGAUUAUGUCACACUGAGUCAUGCUUUUGCCAGUUUGGAAUAUAGUUUGCAAAACUGAAAAUGAUUAUGGAGUAGAAUAGUGAAGAUGUGAUGAAUAUUUAGUCAGUUUUAUUUGGAUAUAAUUUAUAUCCAAUCAAUCUUUUUUUGUGUGUGCGUUACUGGGAAUCGAAAUUAGGGCCUCACGCUUGCCAGGCAGGCACUGCACCACUGAGCUAAAUCCCCAGCCCCUCUAUCCAGUCAGUCUUAUCUCUGUUAAGUGUGUAAUUCAGUGAGUUUUAGCAGACACAUGCAACUGGGUAACUAUAACAAUAAAACACAGAAACUUUGCCUCAGCCCAGAGCCUCCCUGCUGUGCCUCGACCUUGGUGCCUCUCCCUGUCCACAGCACUAGCAGCCAGGUUUCCAUGUCUGUCACUGGAGCUGGUGCUGAAUCAUGCACAGAUGGCAGUCUCUGCCUGACCAUGGCUGUACUUGAGCUGCUUUGACUUUUGGAUGGUGUGAGAGUGAUAUACAUUCAGCAGAGACCAUAGUUUGGAUUUUGGUCUUUUCCCAUGGGCUGAUACGGGAUUCUGUGUAGCAGUGAGCCACAGCUCCUGUUAGUGCACCAGUCUUGAGGGAAGAAGUUGAGACCUACAGUGGGCUGUGUUGCUGAGCUCUCAGGUGCAGUAAGCUGAGUGUAGGAAAAGCAGUUUGAUUUGCAACAUUUUCAGCUUACCCAGGUUUAUUGGGUUGUAACCCAUGGCAAGUUAAGAAGUAGCUGUACAUACACAGUUACACAGCAUGUAGUCUUCUUGACCCUAGACCUUUACUAAACUUUAUAUCUUUGAGAUUCAUUUGUAUUGUUCAUUUAUUCAUAGUUUAUUUCUUUUUAUGGUUUGCAUACUUGUAC